UGGGGAAUAUUGGACAAUGGGCGCAAGCCUGAUCCAGCCAUGCCGCGUGUGUGAAGAAGGCCUUCGGGUUGUAAAGCACUUUUGUUAGGGAAGAAAAGCCGUUGGUUAAUACCCGAUGGUGAUGACGGUACCUAAAGAAUAAGCACCGGCUAACUUCGUGCCAGCAGCCGCGGUAAUACGAAGGGUGCAAGCGUUACUCGGAAUUACUGGGCGUAAAGCGUGCGUAGGUGGUUUGUUAAGUCAGAUGUGAAAGCCCCGGGCUCAACCUGGGAAUUGCAUUUGAUACUGGCUAACUAGAGUGAGGUAGAGGAGAGUGGAAUUCCCGGUGUAGCAGUGAAAUGCGUAGAGAUCGGGAGGAACAUCAGUUGCGAAGGCGGCUCUCUGGACCAUCACUGACACUGAGGCACGAAAGCGUGGGGAGCAAACAGG
rnacentral:rRNA from 1 species